rnacentral:tRNA from 1 species
GUGGGGCUAUGGCUCAGUGGCAGAGCGCUCACCUAGCACACGCAAGGCACUGGGUUCAAACCUCAGCACCACA